UCUCCGUAGGUGAACCUGCGGAGGGAUCAUUACAGAGUUCUCGCCCUCGCGGGUAGAUCUCCCACCCACUGUUAUCGUUACUGUGUUGCUUUGGCGGGCCGCCGGGCCCCGCUCGGCCGCCGGCUCCGGCUGGCGCGCGCCCGCCAGAGGCCCAGCAAACUCUGAACGUUAGUGUCGUCUGAGUACUAUAUAAUAGUUAAAACUUUCAACAACGAAUCUCUUGGUUCUG
rnacentral:misc_RNA from 1 species